rnacentral:lncRNA from 1 species
ACUUGAGUUCCACCUCUGCCAGCACUGGGGGAGGGCUUGGUGCAGAGCUGGCUUCCACUGUUUGCUGUUUUGUGGGCCUAGCCUUGGCCUCUGGUGACUGGCGGCAGCACCCUCCCACCAGCACUGUUGUCUCUUGCAGGCAGUGGCAGUGCCUUGGUGAGGCUGCUCCAGGAGGGCACCUGCAAGCUUGAUGAGAUUGGCUCCUACAGUGAAGAGAAGCUGCAGCACCUGCUAAGGCAGUGUGGAAUCCCCUUUGGGGCAGAAGACUCCAAGGACCAGCUCUGCUUCUCCUUGUUGGCCCUCUACGAAUCUGUACAGAAUGGAGCUAGAGCUAUACGGCCCCCACGUCACUUCACAGGUGGUAAAAUCUACAAGGUGUGCCCCCAUCAGGUGGUCUGCGGCUCCAAGUAUCUUGUGCGAGGUGAGAGUGCCCGUGACCAUGUGGACCUGCUUGCCUCUUCCCGCCACUGGCCGCCUGUCUAUGUGGUAGAUAUGGCCACGUCAGUGGCCCUGUGUGCUGACCUCUGCUACCCAGAGCUGACUAACCAGAUGUGGGGGAGGAACCAGGGCUGUUUCUCUA